UAGGGGAGAACAUUUCUGAGGAAGAACCUAUAAUGAGCUACAAAUCCAUUCUUAUUUCUUAUUCAGUGCUGAAUACUACCUCAUGCAAAAUAUUGGUGUGGCUGCAAAUUUCCCUCUGAAACUGACACAAAUAGAGAUCAAUUUACCAUAACAUCUUUAUUUUGCCUCAUUUCAUUCUGUUUCAUAUAAUUUCUCCUCUUAUGAUUUAUUUCAUUUUGUUAGAUUCUGAAUUAGGUAUUUAUUUCUUUUUGCAAGUGACUAUUUGAUUAACAUAUUAAAAAUGAAAGUUUCCCCUUUAAGUUAUGAUGGCUGCCUAUAGAAUUUAGACUGUUCCUUACAUUGACCCAUCCUUAUAUUAUGUUGUUAGCUACCACCUCAAGGUCACUUUUACGUCAGAUUUGACAGUUUUCUACAGGUGUGCAAGACUAUGGAAUGUUAUAUGGCUGCUGAAUCAGAGAUUCCAAUGACUGCCAUGCCUCUUGCCAACCAAGUUUAAAAUGGUUAGAGUAGCAGUGGUGUUGAUACUGCUGUUUUUAUUGAGUUUUCUUUCGCCUUCAUUUUUCCCCAGAAUUCAGUUUUAAGCUGUGAACCUAUCCCUUUUCCCUAUCCAAAUACUUUCUUCUCAAUGGGCAGUCAGAGUUUUUUUUGGCUUCCAUAGCCUUUACUGAGCAUGUUCACAGGAUUCCUCUCAUUAAGAAAAUAUCUUUUUUUCCCCUACAAUUUUCUGAUGUAUGCGUCCUCCCAGAAGUGCAAGUGCAUCCUAGGAGGGCUUUGUAAGCUGAUUUUACAGGCAGGCUGUGCCUGCAAAUAGUAAAUUUGUGCAAGAAUCCUAAAUCUCUCUUUGCCCAAUGUUUUUUCCUCCUUUUAAACAUGCCUGAAGAAAAGUUACAAGGGCCAGAAGGCCAAAUAUUCUUUAUUUUCCUUCUGAAAACAUGUUACACACUUAAAUAUGAGGGGACAAUUUUGGUUCCUAAGUCCUAAAGAGCUCUGUUCCAUUUAUCCUGAAUCCCUUGGUUUUGGAGUCUGACAUACUUUUCAAACAACAGUUUUCAGAAAUUCCCUGGGAAAGACAACUUCUUCAUGCAAUCUAAGGGAUUUAGUUUGCAUUGAUUGAUUGCUUUCCUACAAGUAGGGGAAUAUACUAUAUAACAAGGGAUAGGAAAAGAGAGCCAUGAUGGAAUGUAGUAUCUUUUUUUUUCUUUCCCUAAGCUGACUAGUCCGUGAACCUGUUCUUAGCAUUUCUUUGAUCCUCUUAAAGCCAGCACAUUAAAUUAUGGUCCAUCUUAUUACCAAAAUAGGUAAUGGGCAAAGGGAUCCUGCAGUUCCUGCAGAGCAGUGGUUCUCAAAAUGUAGUCCCUGGAACAUCAGUAACAACAUCACUAGGGACCUCCUUAGAAAUACCAAUUCUAUUUCCCUGCCUAGACAAACUGAACCAGAAACUCUGGGUAUAGUGCCCGGCAAUCCAUAUGAAUCAGAUGCCCACUGAAGGUUGAGGGCUUUUUAAACCACAGGUGUAUGGGCCCCUGCCCUUACAGUUUCUGAUUCAGUUGGUCUGGGAUGGGGCCUCCCUCUUUGCAUAUCUAAAAAUUCUCAGAUGAUGCUGAUGGGACUGUACUUUGUGUAUCACUGCUCUAGAGAAAACAUGUUUAAUAGGGCUAAUUUCACCUAAGGUACCCAUUCAAACAAAUUCCUUGAGGUGGUGAUGCAGUAGUCACUAAUGAGAAAUGUUAAAGGAAAUACAACUCAGAACUCUGAAAACUGGACAGAACCACCCAGAGUAUUUUCCCAAUGUGUCACUUCACAUAUGACUGACUGAUUGUAUGGGGGAAUUUAGAUGACUUUUUUCUAUAUACCUAUCAUAUCAUUAAAAAGAAAACAAAGUGGUCCACUUGAAGCAGCGAAGAUAAAGGGCUGUUUGGGCAGAGGCAGGGGUAAAGUGGGAUAGCUCAGCUGGGCAUCCAAGGUGGAAAAAAUUAUUGUUGUACAUAAUAGCAGUUCUGGCUGGAAUCACAAGGACCAUUUUAUGGGGAUCAUUUUGAUGUUGAAUGCUCCCCAAGGCAUUCUGACAAGUCUGGUCCACUUGGCUCUUUACCCAGGGUAAUAAGACCCUUACUGACUUUGAAAAACUGGCAUAAAUGAGCUUAAGAAGUCUAUUGUAUACAGUCCUAGUGUUUGCCUUCUUGGAAAAAUUACAUUUAAGGAUGUCAUUUCAUGAGUCAAAUUGUAUCUGCUGACACUGAAGUGUAUUGAGAUGUUGUUCUUUAGUUUAAGUAUGUAACAAAGUAAUAUUCAAAGGGGAUGUGUGGGGGUGGGGCUGGGACUGGGUGGCUUUAUAUUGAUAAUGAAAUAUUCCAGAGCAAAACACAUUGUCCUAAUGAAGUUGUUGCAGCUCUCUUUGUUUUCUUGUGAGGCUGACAUUGGCCUGUGGGUCACUUGUUGUGCAAAAGUGAAUUAUUUUCAAAUAGGAAUCAUAUUGCUUUUGUAAAACAAAGAAAAUCAACCACCUUGUCUGAAAUAGAUAUUGUGAGGCGCUCUUGGUGAAGAAAAACCCACAAACACCUGAUCUUGAUUGGAAAGCAUUGUAGGUCAUUAGGGAAAACUGAUGAUACUGACUGUUGCUCCAGCUGUGUUGGCAAUUAAAGAUGACCUUGUUACUAACCUAAAGUCACUGUCAACCUUAGUUAGCAAGGAAACCAGCUAACACCAUUACAGCACUGGUCAAGUAGACUUUACUGGCACUGGCUGGCAUUCAGCUGAGGAAGGCUAGGAUACAGACUUUAAUGACCAAGAGCCAGACUAGCUCAAGCUAGAAAUUCAGCAACAAAUACCUCCUCAUGCUAUUUGAAUGCUAAGGUAUUAGUUGCAAAAGGCUUACGCCUUCGCUCCUCUAGUGAGGGGAAUGAGCCUGAUGACGCUAUUACUGUUUACCUGUCAAACCAGGGUGGAAAUUUAGAGGGAUGCAAGUACAGUAUGUCUCAUUAAGCAGUCUCUGUUGCUGAUUAUAUGAAGAUGAAAUUGUUGUAUAUGCUGAUCUGUAUGUUAUGUACAUUUUCACAGUGAUUGAAUCAUUGUAAAAAGAAAAAGACAAAAAAGAAUCAACACACUGUCUAUUUUAUGAAGAUGAUAAAGCAGCUUUAUUAAAUUAUUACAGUUAUGUUUUAAAUGGUGUUAUCUGCCACAUUGUUUCCUUUUAUCUGGUGGUUCUCUGUUUCCCCCUUAAAUGUGUUUUCUCUGCUUCAAAAAUUAAAUGCAUUUUAGUAUUAAAGGCUAUUAUGGAAAAAUUAUUGA
rnacentral:lncRNA from 1 species